AUGAAUUAUUCACCAGUAGCGAUCAGUAAAGGGGCAGGGAUGGAGCUGGGAAGUGCUGGGCUGGGAGGUGGCUGUGCCCUGGGGGUGCUGCAGCCACCACUGGGGCUUCUCCGUGGGCCGGAGGAGGAUGAGCACGGCCAAGGAUCCUCAGGUAUGGGAAGGAAAAGCUCCUGCACCGCUCGUUUUCUUACAGCCUCACCAGAUUUCUCUCCCCGUGACGUUUCAGCCCUGCCUCGUGCAGUGUACACCACCCGAGUGACCUGCCAGGAGCUCCCCUCGCUCACUGAUGGAGUUGUGUGGAGCCUACAUCAGCACCAAGCAAGCUGCAAACUAAAAAACCACAAAUUUGGGGCGUUUCAGAAGCUGUGAGUGCAUCCAGCAAGGCACAAAGACACAUCCUCCUCCUGAACCACCUCUGAACGCUGCUGGGGGGCUUCUCUGGGCGAUUCCUCCUGAGCCUGCGGGGUGCAGGGACGCAGAGCGGUGCCAGCGUGGUGGGCACAGUGGAUCUGAGGAUUUCUUGAAGCAGCUCCACGCAGCACAGCCCCGUUUUUAUCCUCCAGCCUCAGGAACUUCUGCCUCCGGGCACGGCACGGCCACAAAAUCACAGAAUCACAGAAUUUCUAGGUUGGAAGAGACCUCAAGAUCAUCGAGUCCAACCUCUAACCGGGCUGGCCGAACAGAGUUUUUUGCUCCAUCACAGCGCCCAGGAGCCACGGGGCUCAGUCAGCUGAGCCAUGGGGCUGGCAGAAGUCCCCGUGCUAAUUAGGGAGGGGAAACAACCCCCCACUAAUGACGAAGGUCGAGCUUUCCAGAGGCUGCUGCCAGCUCACCCCGUGUCGGAGCCUGCGCUGAGGCCGAACCAUUCCCGGUGUGGCAGGAGGAGCUGCCCGGUGCUGCUGGCGUCCCGCAGGCUGUGGGUUUGGUAAUUCUGCUUGGGAAAACGCUGCCCCCAGCAGUGGGGGCUCUGGUUUUCAGCACUGUGCUGGGAAGGAAAGGAACUGCCUCGCUCCACGCUCAAAUCCUCGCGAGGCAGCUUGCUGUGGUGUGCUUAAAAAAUAAAGAGAAAUUUAUCGGGGUGCCCCAGGUGGAGCCCCCGAGGGCACAGGGCUGCCAGCAGCACCGUUUGGCCACUCCUGGCUAUGCCGUUUUUAUUUGUUGGCUGUUCCCAGCUGUUUUUUUAGCCGUUUUUCUUUGCUUGUGGCACAAUUCUGACGCGGUGGCAGUGCCGAUGCCCCCUGCUCUGAGGG
rnacentral:lncRNA from 1 species